AACAUGGACCCUUGGUCACGAAUGUGGAGAAGGAAAAAGUCCUUCAUUGAGAUCGCGAGGUGGUGGCUGCAACUAUGAAUGGUAAUCGAGAUCGGGCUGGGAGUUGCCUCUUCGCAAACGUGACCAAACCAUCGUGAAUGUGAGUGGUCCGGGUCGUCAUCCUUUGGAAACACGAGGGUAUGACCAUAAAUACAAGACCAUUUAAUUGUCCUGGUCAUUGUUAACCCUCACAAACGCAAAGGGUUAAUCACAUCUGUAAGAUUUCAGUUCAAGUGUGACCCGAAAUGGUUGAGUUUAUGCCGUAGUAGCUGAAUUUUUAAGCAGGUACCACUGCCCAUUUCUUCACUGCAAUGCUUACUAGAUUCACCCUUACCAGAAGCACCCCUCGACAUUCUCAAGAAUUUGAGCACCCUUUUUGGAAUAUGAGCUGCUUCGUUUUCUUCAGAGCUGUAUGACAUCAGUUGUUUCUGGAAUCUGGGUGUUAAUCCAGUUCCUGCGUUCAAGGCUUUUAAUUUUGGGGCUCGAAUUAGUUGUUAGUUGAUCCGUAGCUUCAUCAAAUUUCUCCAAUCUUUGUUUUAUGUUGUUUAUUCUUUGAUACAAUCCAAAUCACCUUCUAAUCUUUGGGAAGGAUGCUUAUGAUUCAAGAGGCACUUGACGACCCUUUGGUGCUAUCAAAAGGUGUCAUUUAGAUGAUGAUGAUUGUCGAAGAGGGUCAAGGGACAUCAAAAAAGCCAAAGGAAGGGAAAGCGAGGCUAGAAAUCCCCCAAAAGAUGACAUGCAACCCACAUGUUUUGGAGGUGAACCCAACCUGCUAGAUCUUCUAGAGCAGGUCAAAACAGGCCUAUAUGUCUUUGAGAUGCGCCCAAGACGCUUAAGUGGAUACUAAGUGGGCUACUAUACUUUGAUCUUUCCAAAUGAAUCACUUUUGGGCGCAUAAGAUGUAAUAAUUUAACCUAGACUAUAAAUAGGAUCUAUCUUUCAUUUAGUAGGUAGUUUUUGAUGAAUUAUGAAUGUAUACUCUUUUGAGAGUGU